AUUGAACGCUGGCGGAAUGCUUUACACAUGCAAGUCGAGCGGCAGCGCGGGGGCAACCCUGGCGGCGAGCGGCGAACGGGUGAGUAACAUAUCGGAACGUACCCAGUCGUGGGGGAUAACUAUCCGAAAGGAUAGCUAAUACCGCAUACGUCCUGGGGGAGAAAGCGGGGGAUCGGCAAGACCUCGCGCGAUUGGAGCGGCCGAUAUCGGGAUUAGCUAGUUGGUGGGGUAAAAGGCUCACCAAGGCGACGAUCCGUAGCGGGUCUGAGAGGACGACCCGCCACACUGGAACUGAGACACGGUCCAGACUCCUACGGGAGGCAGCAGUGGGGAAUUUUGGACAAUGGGGGCAACCCUGAUCCGGCCAUUCCGCGUGAGUGAAGAAGGCCUUCGGGUUGUAAAGCUCUUUCAGCAGGAACGAAACCGGUGGUCCCUAAUACGGACUACUAAUGACGGUACCUGAAGAAGAAGCACCGGCUAACUACGUG
rnacentral:rRNA from 1 species